CCUACGUGAGGCUGCAGUAGGGAAUCUUCCACAAUGGGCGAAAGCCUGAUGGAGCAACGCCGCGUGGGUGAAGAAGGUCUUCGGAUCGUAAAACCCUGUUGUUAGAGAAGAAAGUGCGUGAGAGUAACUGUUCACGUUUCGACGGUAUCUAACCAGAAAGCCACGGCUAACUACGUGCCAGCAGCCGCGGUAAUACGUAGGUGGCAAGCGUUAUACGGGUUUAUUGGGCGUAAAGGGAACGCAGGCGGUCUUUUAAGUCUGAUGUGAAAGCCUUCGGCUUAACCGGAGUAGUGCAUUGGAAACUGGGAGACUUGAGUUCAGAAGAGGAGAGUGGAACUCCAUGUGUAGCGGUGAAAUGCGUAGAUAUAUGGAAGAACACCAGUGGCGAAAGCGGCUCUCUGGUCUGUAACUGACGCUGAGGUUCGAAAGCGUGGGUAGCAAACAGGAUUAGAUACCCUAGUAGUC
rnacentral:rRNA from 1 species